UACGUAGGGUGCGAGCGUUAAUCGGAAUUACUGGGCGUAAAGCGUGCGCAGGCGGUUGUGCAAGACAGAUGUGAAAUCCCCGGGCUUAACCUGGGAACUGCAUUUGUGACUGCACGGCUAGAGUGUGUCAGAGGGGGUAGAAUUCCACGUGUGAGCAGUGAAAUGCGUAGAUAUGUGGAGGAAUACCGAUGGCGAAGGCAGCCCCCUGGGAUAACACGUGACGCUCAUGCACGAAAGCGUGGGAGCAAACAGG
rnacentral:rRNA from 1 species